rnacentral:rRNA from 1 species
GCCUACGGGGGGCAGCAGUGGGGAAUAUUGCGCAAUGGGGGGAACCCUGACGCAGCAACGCCGCGUGCAGGAAGAAGGUCUUCGGAUUGUAAACUGUUGUCGCAGGGGAAGAAGACAGUGACGGUACCCUGUGAGAAAGUCACAGCUAACUACGUGCCAGCAGCCGCGGUAAUACGUAGGUGGCAAGCGUUAUCCGGAUUUACUGGGUGUAAAGGGCGUGUAGGCGGGACUGCAAGUCAGAUGUGAAAAUUAUGGGCUCAACCCAUAACCUGCAUUUGAAACUGUAGUUCUUGAGUGAUGGAGAG